rnacentral:rRNA from 1 species
CCUACGGGUGGCAGCAGUGAGGAAUAUUGGUCAAUGGGCUUACGCCUGAACCAGCCAAGUCGCGUGAGGGAUGACUGCCCUAUGGGUUGUAAACCUCUUUUGUCAGGGAGCAAUUUGCGCUACGUGUAGCGUUAUCUAUAGUACCUGAAGAAAAAGCAUCGGCUAACUCCGUCCCAGCAGCCGCGGUAAUACGGAGGAUGCGAGCGUUAUCCGGAUUUAUUGGGUUUAAGGGGUGCGUAGGCGGAAUGCCAAGUCAGCGGUAAAAUCGCGGGGCUCAACCUCGCUCCGCCGUUGAAACUGGCGUUCUUGAGUGGGUGAGAAGUAUGCGGAAUGCGUGGUGUAGCGGUGAAAUGCAUAGAUAUCACGCAGAACUCCGAUUGCGAAGGCAGCAUACCGGAGCCCAACUGACGCUGAAGCACGAAAGCGUGGGUAUCGAACAGGAUUAGAUACCCGAGUAGUC